ACCGUCACGGAUGGCGGCAGUUCCACGCUCGCAAGUUUUAGCCUGCGGCUAAAACUUGAAGAUUAAAAAUGUACAAGAAUGUACAUUCAUAAACGGAC
rnacentral:ncRNA from 1 species